CCUACGGGUGGCAGUAGUGAGGAAUAUUGGUCAAUGGGCGCGAGCCUGAACCAGCCAAGUCGCGUGAGGGAAGACGGUCCUAUGGAUUGUAAACCUCUUUUGUCAGGGAACAAAGGCGGGGACUAGUCCCCGGAUGAGGGUACCUGAAGAAAAAGCAUAGGCUAACUCCGUGCAAGCAGCAGCGGUAAUACGGAGGAUGCGAGCGUUAUCCGGAUUUAUUGGGUUUAAAGGGUGCGCAGGCGGAGGUGCAAGUCAGCGGUCAAAUUGCGGGGCUCAACCCCGUACUGCCGUUGAAACUGCAUCCCUUGAGUGCGCGAGAAGUAUGCGGAAUGCGUGGUGUAGCGGUGAAAUGCAUAGAUAUCACGCAGAACUCCGAUUGCGAAGGCAGCAUACCGGCGCGCAACUGACGCUCAUGCACGAAAGCGUGGGUAGCGAACAGGAUUAGAUACCCGUGUAGUC
rnacentral:rRNA from 1 species